rnacentral:rRNA from 1 species
AGUGAACGCUGGCGGUAGGCCUAACACACGCAAGUCGAACGGCAGCACAGUAAGAGCUUGCUCUUACGGGUGGCGAGUGGCGGACGGGUGAGGAAUACAUCGGAAUCUACUUUUUCGUGGGGGAUAACGUAGGGAAACUUACGCUAAUACCGCAUACGACCUACGGGUGAAAGCAGGGGAUCUUCGGACCUUGCGCGAUUGAAUGAGCCGAUGUCGGAUUAGCUAGUUGGCGGGGUAAAGGCCCACCAAGGCGACGAUCCGUAGCUGGUCUGAGAGGAUGAUCAGCCACACUGGAACUGAGACACGGUCCAGACUCCUACGGGAGGCAGCAGUGGGGAAUAUUGGACAAUGGGCGCAAGCCUGAUCCAGCCAUACCGCGUGGGUGAAGAAGGCCUUCGGGUUGUAAAGCCCUUUUGUUGGGAAAGAAAAGCAGCAGGUUAAUACCCCGCUGUUCUGACGGUACCCAAAGAAUAAGCACCGACUAACUUCGUG